UACGUAGGUGGCAAGCGUUGUCCGGAAUUACUGGGCGUAAAGGGCGCGCAGGCGGCAGACCAAGUCAGGCGUGAAAGCCCCGGGCUUAACCUGGGAGGUGCGUCUGGGACUGGUAUGCUAGAGUUCGGGAGAGGAGAGUGGAAUUCCCAGUGUAGAGGUGAAAUUCGUAGAUAUUGGGAAGAACACCGGUGGCGAAGGCGGCUCUCUGGACCGAGACUGACGCUGAGGCGCGAAAGCGUGGGGAGCAAACAGG
rnacentral:rRNA from 1 species